rnacentral:lncRNA from 1 species
AGUCAAGGGUGCUGUUUGGGGCUGUGUGACAUUAGUACAAACAUGGUCUUGGGAGUGGAAGAGGUCACAUGGGGAGAGUGUGGAGAGAGAAUAGAAAGGGCCAGGAGAGACCCCUGAAGCACUCCAAUAUCUGGAAGCCUAGAAGAGGAAAAGGAGCCUGAGAAGAGGUCAGAAAAGUCCACCAAGGAGGGAUCUUGCUGUUUAAUUGUGGCUUCUGAGUGGAUAGAGAGUUGCAGUGGUCGUUGUUUGUUGUCAGUGCUUUCCAGAUGAUGGGUAAUCAGUGCCCAUGGAAGUUCACUCUGGUGCAGUGCAAAGAAUAUAGGGGAAUUUGGAAGUUUUAAUUAGCUUCUCCUGGCUUCAGCUUCUUCAUCUGUAAAAAUGAGAUGACUCAACGUGAGUGUGCAACAGAAUCAUCUGCAGAACUUAAAACAAAAAACAACAGCUACUGGAGCCUCAUAAGUACCAAGUUGGGUAAGAUGCACGUGCAUUUCAAGAGCUCCAUAGGUGUGUCCUCCACUGAACUCGACUUUUCUACAGGUUCUCUUCCACUUGAAAAUACUAUUUUUAAUCACAUAUUUGUACAUGUUGCUUAUGAGAAAUUAAAUUGGCACAAGAUAUAUUAAACGCCGUAAGAAUUUGCCUGCCUUUUAACUUAAUGAGUUCUUUUGUAGGAAUUUCUUCCUCAGAAAUUACGUCAUGUACACAAACAUAUAUAUUCAAGAAUAUUCAUUCUUGAUUGUAAAAACAAACUGUUGAAACAAUAAAAGUGAUUAACACUAAGAUCUUAUUUAUGGAUAAAUAAUGGUAUAUCACUACAACAAAAUACCAUGUAGUCAUUGAAAGUUAAAUUAUAAGAGAAUAAUUAGUGAUGUGGAAAAUUUUCAUGAGAUAUUUGUAAAAUGAAGAAAAGCAGAUUUUAAAGUGUAU